UACGGAGGGUGCAAGCGUUAUCCGGAUUCACUGGGUUUAAAGGGUGCGUAGGAGGACAGGUAAGUCAGUGGUGAAAUCUCCGAGCUUAACUUGGAACUGCCGUUGAUACUAUCUGCCUUGAAUAUUGUGGAGGUGAGCGGAAUAUGUCAUGUAGCGGUGAAAUGCUUAGAUAUGACAUAGAACACCAAUUGCGAAGGCAGCUCGCUACACAUAUAUUGACUCUGAGGCACGAAAGCGUGGGGAUCAAAACAGG
rnacentral:rRNA from 1 species